rnacentral:rRNA from 1 species
GCUUACGGCCACACCGCCUGGUUCACGCCCGAUCUCGUCUGAUCUUGGAAGCUAAGAUAGGUUGGGCCUGGUUAGUACUUGGAUGGGAGACCGCCUGGGAAUACCAGGUGCUGUAAAGC